rnacentral:rRNA from 1 species
UACAGAGGUCUCAAGCGUUGUUCGGAUUCAUUGGGCGUAAAGGGUGCGUAGGUGGCGCCAUAAGUCAGGUGUGAAAUCUCGGGGCUCAACCUCGAAACUGCACUUGAUACUGUGGUGCUGGAGUACUGGAGAGGAGAUUGGAAUUUACGGUGUAGCAGUGAAAUGCGUAGAUAUCGUAAGGAAGACCAGUGGCGAAGGCGAAUCUCUGGACAGUUACUGACACUGAGGCACGAAGGCCAGGGGAGCAAAGCGGG